UGCCACGCCCUUCUUUUGACAUUUGCAUGUACCACUCCCUGCCCCCCAUUCAGGGCCACCCACCACCUACUGGGAGCUGGGUCCGGGGCGGCCCCCUCCCCUCCAGGCCUUCCCCACACCCUGCACAUCCCUGUCUGGGAACCCUUAGCACACACUCUUGCUCAAAAGGGUCCUCCCCUUUCUAGAGUCAGAGGCUCAGGAUUCUGGAGGGGAUGGGAUGUCCCUCGUUCAUCGAGGUGUCCCUCUUCCUGGCCGCCUUCUGUCAGUCACCCUGUUAAGACUUUCUUCCUGGCUGACUGCUGUCUGCAGUGACCUGACGUGAGUGAAUGUCUGUCUUCUCUCUUCCCCCAGAUGCAGAUUUCUCAGGGCAAGGAUUUUCUUUUUUUCUCUCCUGUUGCCUACUGUGUCCCCAAGCCCUGGGACCCAGGCCAGGCCCAAACUAGAGAAAUGGUGUUUGCUGAUUGACUCACAGAUUCCCUAAGGGCAGGGACCUUAUCAAGUUAAUCCCCAGGAAAGUGCUGGGCGCAGAGGAGGCUCUCAGGAAAACAUGGUGACAGAGCCCAUGAAUAUGGUAAUUGGUUUUGAGAAAUUCUUUACGUUGGUUAAACACUGUUUGGCCUUCUGGCUUUUUCUGUCCCUUCUAGAUGGCAUUUGGGAGAGUUGAGGUUUGCUGCAAUAAAGGUCAGGUCGGCUGGGUCUGGGCUCUUCUCUCCAUUUUCCAAGACCCCCCAAAAGGAGCGAUGAGCCCCAAUAUAAUCCUGCAAACAUCAUCAGGGCCCCCCGCCCCACCUUCUAGCACACUCUGCCGUGCUCAGAAGCAGGUGCUCUGGGGAGCUCGGUCUGCAACAGGCUCGAGUGUGGUGUGUCAGGGCUAAUAUUUUAUGCAUGGAGCUGACUAAAUGGGGACAUUUGGAGAUGAAAAUUGCUGUUAAUGCAUCCACACAUCUUUGGAAUAUAUUAAAUGUUUGUAGGAGCGGGAGGCGACAUUAGCCUUAUUUAAUAGCGCGGAUGUAACCAUCCCCACACCCAGCUGUAAUAGCCCCAGUGCCUCUAGGCCCCGCAGGCUCCCCCUCGGGGACAGCACUGGGUCUAUCAGCUGGCACUGGAGAAUUAUGCAUGAGACACAGUGUCAGCCCCACCACCAGGCAUUCAGGCAGCAUAUGUCCCAAACUCAUUUUAGACCCAGAGACGGUGACCCCAUGCCGCUUGGUGCGGAAUUUCAUUAAAAGCCAAAUUACUGGUUUAUCUAUUGUUUGAGCAGAAGAGAGAAUAAACAAAGGGACAAAUGAAAACGUCUGUCCCCGCAGCCGCCCGAGGGCCGUUGCCGUGGACCCUGAAGCCACAGGGUCAGUGACUUGGGCCCGUCUCCAAGGUGCCGUGGAAACCCGCCGUGGUCCGAGCUCCUGAGGCGCUCACCAUCUCCCGGGGCCUGCGUGGGCGAGGACCCCGGCCGCCCGCGCCCCGUCGCCUGGAUACGGUUCUGUGAGAGCCACUUCGAAAACUGAAAAAGCUGUUAGAGCAACUGGACCGUGUUCUCACUGCCUUAAUCAUUUUCAAGGGGAUGAGAAGGAACAUGAAGAGGCCCCGCCUGGCCCCGCUCGAAGGUGUCUGCUCCCUGCACCCCCCACCACCACCCGUCAGCCUUGGGGGAGCAGGCUCUCAUUUACCGCAAGGACGUGGGGUGCAGGGAGGGUGAGAGAGGGCGCAGCGGGCAUCAAGGCAGGGCUGGCCCCUCAGCACUCUGCCUGCUGAGAGCCACAUGGCUUCAGGAACAUUCCAGGCCUUAGGAGAAGGCAGGCCCGUGGAGUCAGCCCACGUUCUCUUUGCACAAGGUGGGGGGCUUGCUCUUCUCAAUGCUCAGCGGGCUGUACUUCAAGCGGCUUCUUCCCUGCCCCCGCCUGGAGUCUCUCCAGUUUGGUGCCAGCCAGUUUGGUGCGGUCCCCGUGGCCCCCGGCUCCUGUCUGGCCUGGGGAGGGGGCUGCCCGCUCCGGCAGGAGACCCAGGACACGGUGGAGCCCACUAGGACAUGCGUUUUUCGCUGCCACAUUUGAGCGCCGUUGAGAGUCGUGUGCGGGUCUUGUCUGGGCAGCCGCUGAGCCAGAAUGCCCACCGCCCCCUCCCUGCUCUGCCCCUGCUCAUGUUCCAGGACCACCCCGUGCAGACCCAGUGGCCGGUGCCGUCCCGGAAGAGCCCGUGGGAUGUCAGGGCUGAGCGGGGCUCCCGAGUUCAUGUCCCGUGUCCCCCCACCCCUGCAGCUCGCAUCCUCAUACGUGGCAUUUCUUCUGAGCAUCGCCUCAAACUUCCGGGGGCAGGACCUGCCUCUGGCAAAUAAACGGGUUCCUCCUUUGCAAAAAUGGGGUGACCCGGCACCCAUGGCUGAGGACAGUGUUGCUGCUGCCCUGCCACGGAGCUUCUAGAAGCCAGGGCCUUGGCCCCGCAGUGUUGGCUCAUAGUAGGUGCUCAGCUAAGGCCCAGGAUCAGGGCCGGCUGCAGACAGCAGCACAGAAUAGUUGUUCAGUGUGAGAGGGUAAACUGAAAUCGGCUCUCGUCAUUGCUGGGAAGAAGCACCCAGGAGGGGCAGGAAGGACGUUUGUGGAAUGAAUAAAUAAAAGUGUGCUCUUUGAGGGAAUAAAGAAGCAGAAAAAGAAUCCAGGGAAGAUGGACAUAAAUCUCCACCAAGCGCCGCCAAGGUUUGCAGCCAAGGCGGCUGAAAAAACCCCGCGGAGGCCGAGGGGCCAUUUGUCACAGGCGGGGACUGGCUUGAGGGCCAGGAAGAAAGGGUGUGACGGUGGCUCGUUCAUCAUUUUCCCAUUAUCCCCAAGACGUGGAGAGGAACCUGCGCAAGGCGGGGUGGGAGUGGGGAAGGAUCCCAAGGAAGGGCAGGCCCGGCAGGUGAGCCCACAGCUCUGGGUCAGGUCCCACAGCCCGGGCGUGGCAGGACUCCGUGGCCAGUAUGGCUACUGGACCCCAGUGGGUGCACGAUUGAACAUGUCUAAGCCCCCCUCGGGCCCUUGGUGUGCGUUGCUGGUUUUCAUACCUGUGAGCCCCAGUGCCAGCCCUGUGUUCAUGCCAUACCCCUGCCUUGAAUGUCCCUCCAUGUCGCUAAGGGUCUAGCUUCACUGCCACCUCCUACAGGAAGCUGUCCCUGAUUUGCCCCUGUGCCCAACAUACAAACUCCAGCCUCAAACUGCAGGUAUCCGUUCCCUGGUUCUUCAAUCAACAGGUACGCCUCGGCCAGAGAGCAGGCUGUGCAGGCUCAGGGCUUUCUGGUUUGGUCGUUGUGGGGCCCCUGCGCCCAGGGAAGGUGUCCUGUGAUCCCUGUUCUUGUCCCGUCCCCGCAGGCACGCCGGACUCGCCGUUGGGCGGCCGCCCGAGACUUGGAGACUGGUUGAUCACAGUCACGAGCCAAGGGCUGGGCGAGCGGUAGCCACACCCUCCCACCGCUGCCUGGAGAGGUGCGGGCUGUGGGCCGGAGGCUUUGCCCGGGUCAGGGGCCUCUGCUUUCCGUGAACCCACCCAGACUAUCAGCACCAGACUCCUGCUUCACAGGGCUCCGGGAAGGUCCUGCCCUUGGAGAAGGUCAAUGGCAUCCACGCCCCCGCAGCACAGACCCGCUGCCCUGCCUUCCCUAGGAAGAAGGGGAGGCCGGACACUCCCCACUCUAUAUAGAGCACCCUGAAUGGGGCCCAGGAGCGGAUCCAUCAGGGCUCAGGCCCGCACUAUGGACUGGGGAGGACCGUGUGGGCAAGCAGAGAACUCUGAGUGGCCACGAACUCCAACAGAAGAGCCACUGACAUGUGCCCCCCCACCCCAGGGUUCAGGAGCCCUGUUCUUCCUUUGCAAACACUUGGCAUGUUUUGGGGCUAUUUUGAACAAUAAAUACACAUUAUAAAACUCUUAAA